UUUGCCUUUUUCAGCCCACGGAUUGUUCUUCUUAUCCGGAGCAUUAAUCAACGGAUCGUUCUUCUCAUUCUCCUCAAUGAACGACCGCAUUCUGUGCAAAAAGAGAGAAGUGGUGAGACAUGGAAAUUCAUGUGAAGGAGGUCACCCAAUGGGGUUGUGGCAAAAUGUGAGAAUAAAGAGUUCUCAAGGUUGGACGGACGAUUGCCCCUCGGGAACUGGUGGGGGGAAAUAAAAAGCGGAAUUUAUGCCAGUUAGAAAUUCAGAUAUUUACUGUUGAAGCUCUUGAUGGAGUCUGUAUUUUAAUGACAGAAUAUUUCAUAUCAAAUUUCCAAAGAAAUUGUCGGUUUGUUUCCAUACAUCUAUCUACCUUCAGCAUCUAAUAUUUACUUAUUUAAAAUUAAAUCCCCUAAGCACAUCCUUAGCGUGAAAUUCAAUUCCCAAUCAAAAUUCAACAAAAUUGUUAUUAGAAAAUCAAUGCAAGAUGUUGGCAUUUGUUUGCAGAAGCGAGGAAGGAGGCCACACACGUGUCAGACAGAAUGAAAAUGCCAAUGCCUAACGCACGAUAAUCGAAUUGAAGGCGAAAUGGCAAAGCUCUAAUUCGCAAAGAAAGAGAAAAAAAGUAAUAUUUUCCAGGUAUCGUUUAAGUCAUUUGAGCUAUGAAUACCCCCUGGAAACCAAGCGCCUUUGAGGCGGCAGCCUUCAGUCUCCUACACACUUAAAUGUAGCCUCUCUCUGCCGAGGAGAAAUAAAAUACAUAAACAGAAAGCUUAGCAUACAUUUGAGAGCUGCCUUCCGAUUUCCAAUUCCUUGAGUAUUCGAGGCACGCACGACGCCCACGCCCAAGACCCCAUCCCGCCUCGUAGUAGGAAAAAGAUACACGUAUGCUGCUUGACUAUAGGAAACGGGAUAAUGCAUAUGCAUAAUGCUUAUAGUCCUGCCACUUCCCUUCUCCAUGGCCUGCCCUGUUGCUGCUGAUGCUGAUGAAAUGAAUGUUGAGGCGGAAAUUUAAUGCCAGAAAUUGCAAAUAUCCUGCUAUCAAAAACUUGUCGAGCUGUGGGUUGCCACCUGCCGCGCCGUGUACACGAUGCACACUUCUUACCCUACAAUGUAUUUGCAUAUUUGAUUUGCAGGAUGGCUGAAGGGCAAGAGAAGCACAGAGAAUGAGGGGGAAAAGCCGAACGAACGGAGCCGCAUGUCUAGUCGCUGUCUACACAAACAAUCACGCACACACACAGAGACAGGCUAAGGCAGGAAGCAGGCGCACACACACAGAUACGGUGGGGGUUUCGGAGUGUAUGUGUGGAAGUAACUCCAGGAGACUCUUUUUCGAAGAAGAAAAACAAAAGAACCCACCACCGUGCAGCAGCAAAACAACCGAAAACAACUUCAUAUUUAUGUAAAUAUUUAGCAAACAAGCAAAAUGUAGACAGACAGUCAGAGGCACACUCUUCUUGUACCUGAGGUGUGGGCUGUGAAAAUAUUUAAGGCACUUUUUGGGCGAAAUUCUUAAUGAAAAUAAGAACACUUAUCAGCACAUCAAAGACACAACACUGAAUUGC